CGACUCUUUCAAGUUGUUAAUCAGCUCGAAGGAAAGAAGAAAUCAAAGGGAAUACAACUUUGUCUUUUCUAAAAGAGUAGUCUGUUCUUUUCUUCUUCUUAUAACGAAGUCUACUGAUACAUUCACUUGUAGCGUCUAAGAAGAUGGUGAGGACUUAAUAAAUAUUAGAUCAACCAACCAGGCAUCCUAUCCCUGCCCUCCAGGAACUUACGAUCUACCUCAACAAGAGAUGCUGCACAUGGCUGUCUGGGCUCCUAGGCCUUCGGCAGAAAUGACAGUAUGGGCAGUGGAACUCAACAGAUUGCAGCCCAGGGUUUUCUAGCCCAGGCUCAAAAGAGGUCUCCAGCCACACCUCCGACCCAACCAGAAGCCCACCCUGAGCCAGGAGGUUGGGCACUAACUACUAUGAUCUUCUUGUGAUGAGGAAGCAUGGUCCUGCCCAGAGCUAUGACACUCUAAGUUGGCAUGGGGCGGUCGGCAUGGGGCAGUCUGCCCUGGGCUCUGAGGAGAAAACCCUGGCUCACCCAGCACCUUGCAGCACCAGGCAGACGGCACUGCUACGGUGAGCAACUGUAUGGAGCGAUGUGAGAGAGAGACAGAACAGUUCACGUCCUGUGGACAGAGGUGAAAGAGACGAGGAGUGGGCUGGGGUGGGUGGCUUCAUUGCCACCCAGGGCCAUGUGACGUCUGGGCCUGGGCUUCUGUUGCGGCCCUUGUCUGGGUUCAGGCUCUGAAGCAGCGGCAGUCCCUGUUGAUGUCCAUGACUCCUGAUACCACCGAAGGCAGAGAGGAUAGGGCUGUGCAAGGUUGGCCCCGCCCCUCACUGACUGUGGCACUGGGGAGAACUGGUCCUGCUCAUCACUGGCUGAAGCACUCAGGACAGAGGGUCCUACAUCAUACCUGGGCAGCACAAUAGAGCUGACCCUGUCUGCCGGGGCAUGGGAGAGCUGGCCCUGAGGGAACGAGAACGGGAGAGCAGGCCAGGCUCCUCUUGUAUGCCGUGUGGUGGCACGGAUGAGGGAUAGAUUCCCUCCUUCCCUCGCUAUCUGCAAAAGGUGGGGGACCUGACCCAGCCCCUCACUAGCUGCAAUACUCAGGAGAACAAGCCUUACGCCUUGCCUGGGCAGCACAAUAGAGCCAACCUGGUUGGCGGAGGUGUGGGUGAGCCAGCCCUGAAGUUGUGACCAUGGGAGAGCUGUCCCCGUGACAUCUGUUUUGUGGUGGCAUGGGUGGGGGACCCAUCAAUGCCUGAGGCAGGUGGGAGAGCUGGCCCUGAGGUCAUGAGAGUGGGAGAGCUGGCCCUGCCCCUCACCAGCUGCAGCACUCGGGAGGGAGGCCCCUACGCCUUGCGUGGGCACCACAGUAGAGUUGGCCCUGAAGAUGUAAGUGUGGGAGAGCCGCCCCCGAGGACGUGAAAGCAGGAGAACUGGCCCCGCCCCUUGCUCAUGGCUGCAAGGGAUGAACUAGCCAGGGCAGUGCUGGGGAGCCCACUCUGGUGAUGAAGACAGGGGAGAGCUGGUGGACUGACCAAUCCUGCAACUACCCAGGCCCAGAACCAGGGUUAUGUGUUGGCCCACCCCAUCUGUG